rnacentral:rRNA from 1 species
CCCCGCUGACGAGCGGCGGACGGGUGAGUAAUGCUUAGGAAUCUGCCCAGUAGUGGGGGAUAGCCCGGGGAAACCCGGAUUAAUACCGCAUACGUCCUACGGGAGAAAGCAGGGGAUCUUCGGACCUUGCGCUAUUGGAUGAGCCUAAGUCGGAUUAGCUAGUUGGUGGGGUAAAGGCCUACCAAGGCGACGAUCCGUAGCUGGUCUGAGAGGAUGAUCAGCCACAUCGGGACUGAGACACGGCCCGAACUCCUACGGGAGGCAGCAGUGGGGAAUAUUGGACAAUGGGGGCAACCCUGAUCCAGCCAUGCCGCGUGUGUGAAGAAGGCUUUCGGGUUGUAAAGCACUUUCAGCGAGGAGGAAGGCCUUAAAGUUAAUACCUUUGAGGAUUGACGUUACUCGCAGAAGAAGCACCGGCUAACUCCGUGCCAGCAGCCGCGGUAAUACGGAGGGUGCAAGCGUUAAUCGGAAUUACUGGGCGUAAAGCGCGCGUAGGUGGUUAGGUAAGCGAGAUGUGAAAGCCCCGGGCUUAACCUGGGAACGGCAUUUCGAACUGUCUGACUAGAGUGUGGUAGAGGGUAGUGGAAUUUCCUGUGUAGCGGUGAAAUGCGUAGAUAUAGGAAGGAACACCAGUGGCGAAGGCGGCUACCUGGACCAACACUGACACUGAGGUGCGAAAGCGUG